rnacentral:rRNA from 1 species
UUGACCUCGGAUCAGGUAGGGAUACCCGCUGAACUUAAGCAUAUCAAUAAGCGGAGGAAAAGAAACCAACAGGGAUUGCUCUAGUAACGGCGAGUGAAGCAGCAAUAGCUCAAAUUUGAAAUCUGGCGUCUUCGACGUCCGAGUUGUAAUUUGUAGAGGAUGCUUCUGAGUAACCACCGACCUAAGUUCCUUGGAACAGGACGUCAUAGAGGGUGAGAAUCCCGUAUGCGGUCGGAAAGGUGCUCUAUACGUAGCUCCUUCGACGAGUCGAGUUGUUUGGGAAUGCAGCUCUAAAUGGGAGGUAAAUUUCUUCUAAAGCUAAAUAUUGGCCAGAGACCGAUAGCGCACAAGUAGAGUGAUCGAAAGAUGAAAAGCACUUUGGAA